CGUGUAGGCGGUUUCGUAAGUCGGACGUGAAAGCUCCUGGCUUAACUGGGAGAGGCCGUUCGAUACUGCGGGACUUGAGGUCGGGAGAGGGACGCGGAAUUCCCGGUGUAGUGGUGGAAUGCGUAGAUGUCGGGAGGAACACCAGUGGCGAAGGCGGCGUCCUGGCCCGCACCUGACGCUAAGACGCGAAAGCGUGGGUAGCGAACG
rnacentral:rRNA from 1 species